GACCUGUAACAUUUUCUUCCUUGCUUUGUUACCAUUUUGUUCCUCUGUCAUAUUUCCGUCCUAAUUAUGUUAGCAUAUUUUAUUCUAGUGUUGCUAAUUUAUCUCCUAAACAAUUAUGAUUGGUGCUGAGAUCAUUGUUGCUGCUGCUCCAAGAGGAAAGUUGUUGCUACUAGGAAUUAAAAACAAACGAAUGGUUUGUUGCGUUUAAUUACCAAGUUUUGGCUAAUUGAGAAUGUUCCUUACUUGGGAUGCAGUGCCUUGUAUACUUAUUUUCAGGUGUGUGGCACUUAUUAGAACUUCUCCAUGAGAAAUGAGAAAGGAGCUGUAUGAACAUGAUGGAGUUUGUAAUUUGUAGUUUACAUUUUGGAGAUUUAUAAUUCCUUGUUUUUCUUGUCUUAUGUAUCUAUCUAGUUCAUUAGGGUUCUUCA